CCUGGACAGUUGUCUGAUUCACGUUGACAUUUGAAGAGUUGAUGUUUGAAGAGUCACAGAAUGAGAAAGUGAACCGGAAGAAGAAUUGGUGAAAUCACAUCCAGCUGGCAUCUCUGAACGCCCAGCUCUGACCCACUGAGUCAGCAAAGUCUGAUGCAAAGAGCACUCACCAGGCGACUGAGUUCAGAGUGACCCACAUCUGAUGGAAGAGACAAAAAUGUAGCUGUUAAAUCCAACCAAGUAUUUAUCUCUCUC